CGGGGAGCUGUCCCGGACGCUGCUCAGAUCUCCCGGGGCAGUGUGCUGGGGGCCGGAGGGGCCGAGCGCCACCGGACCCACCCCAUGGGCAAGGCAGAACGAGGGUCUCCUGGGAGCCCGGGUGACUGUGAGUGUGUGAGCAGCUGUUUAUUGGAAGCCGUCAAGGUCUCUAAGGACAGAGACAGAUGGCCCUUCGCGAGGGGAGUGCCGGGCCAGGCCUCCUGGCUCAAGCUUCGCGGGAAUGUCUGCCUUCUUUUCUGCUGAGGGGCCCUGACAGCUAUGCUCAAGGAACAGAGGCAACGGACCCCAGGGGCAUGGGCGCAGUCCCGGGACCCCUUCACCAAGAGGAACCCGGGUGUCUUCUCCCUGCGGCUGCCGCAGGUGACUCAAAACACCAUUCACGCUCAUCACGACUUUGAAAUAAUGCCAGCGGUCGGCGCCAUCGCUAGAUCUUGCUGUUGAAUCUCGUUAUUUAACGCAGUCACAAAAAGAAAGCGCAUAAGGGACCAGAUUACGAGUUUGCUCUUUAUUUUAAUGGCAUUUCAACAAA
rnacentral:lncRNA from 1 species